CUUCUCUUCUCAUAUUUAACCUGGUUCGGCCAGGUAGAAUGACACCCUCGUCCAUUACUUGAGGUUUUGACCGUCGGAAGUGCUUCGUCGCUUCAUCUUUCAGUUGUGAGAGAAUCUGCAUAAAAGUUUUGUGCGCCUGCUCCGAAUUUUCAAAAAGUCGACUGUACAAGGGCCAAAGUGCAGGAGCUCCAAGUCGAUGGCGUUUCUGAUUUGACUUAAUCCGUCUGUGACAGUCCUCCAAAAAACAGGGAAUGGUCAGCCAUGUGCAGUCUCGAAUGAAAGCAGUCGGAUCACCUCGUUGAUGUUCAUCUCGUAUUUGGUUCUCUUUGCGCACUUCUUUUACAGUUCAUACUUCUCCAAGAGGAAGAAAGAAGUGUGAGAAAGGAUAUGUAUUCACAUUUGUGGAAAUUAAAUAAAUUACUGUAUUCCCAACCAGCUUAUAUUUUUCUGAUUGAACAUUGAGUCACGAAUAAAAUACC